rnacentral:rRNA from 1 species
UUAAGCGACUAAGCGUACACGGUGGAUGCCCUGGCAGUCAGAGGCGAUGAAGGACGUGCUAAUCUGCGAUAAGCGUCGGUAAGGUGAUAUGAACCGUUAUAACCGGCGAUUUCCGAAUGGGGAAACCCAGUGUGAUUCGUCACACUAUCAUUAACUGAAUCCAUAGGUUAAUGAGGCGAACCGGGGGAACUGAAACAUCUAAGUACCCCGAGGAAAAGAAAUCAACCGAGAUUCCCCCAGUAGCGGCGAGCGAACGGGGAGCAGCCCAGAGCCUGAAUCAGUGUGUGUGUUAGUGGAAGCGUCUGGAAAGGCGCGCGAUACAGGGUGACAGCCCCGUACACAAAAAUGCACAUGCUGUGAGCUCGAUGAGUAGGGCGGGACACGUGGUAUCCUGUCUGAAUAUGGGGGGACCAUCCUCCAAGGCUAAAUACUCCUGACUGACCGAUAGUGAACCAGUACCGUGAGGGAAAGGCGAAAAGAACCCCGGCGAGGGGAGUGAAAAAGAACCUGAAACCGUGUACGUACAAGCAGUGGGAGCCUCUUUAUGGGGUGACUGCGUACCUUUUGUAUAAUGGGUCAGCGACUUAUAUUCUGUAGCAAGGUUAACCGAAUAGGGGAGCCGAAGGGAAACCGAGUCUUAACUGGGCGUUAAGUUGCAGGGUAUAGACCCGAAACCCGGUGAUCUAGCCAUGGGCAGGUUGAAGGUUGGGUAACACUAACUGGAGGACCGAACCGACUAAUGUUGAAAAAUUAGCGGAUGACUUGUGGCUGGGGGUGAAAGGCCAAUCAAACCGGGAGAUAGCUGGUUCUCCCCGAAAGCUAUUUAGGUAGCGCCUCGUGAAUUCAUCUCCGGGGGUAGAGCACUGUUUCGGCAAGGGGGUCAUCCCGACUUACCAACCCGAUGCAAACUGCGAAUACCGGAGAAUGUUAUCACGGGAGACACACGGCGGGUGCUAACGUCCGUCGUGAAGAGGGAAACAACCCAGACCGCCAGCUAAGGUCCCAAAGUCAUGGUUAAGUGGGAAACGAUGUGGGAAGGCCCAGACAGCCAGGAUGUUGGCUUAGAAGCAGCCAUCAUUUAAAGAAAGCGUAAUAGCUCACUGGUCGAGUCGGCCUGCGCGGAAGAUGUAACGGGGCUAAACCAUGCACCGAAGCUGCGGCAGCGACGCUGAUGCGUUGUUGGGUAGGGGAGCGUUCUGUAAGCCUGUGAAGGUGUGCUGUGAGGCAUGCUGGAGGUAUCAGAAGUGCGAAUGCUGACAUAAGUAACGAUAAAGCGGGUGAAAAGCCCGCUCGCCGGAAGACCAAGGGUUCCUGUCCAACGUUAAUCGGGGCAGGGUGAGUCGACCCCUAAGGCGAGGCCGAAAGGCGUAGUCGAUGGGAAACAGGUUAAUAUUCCUGUACUUGGUGUUACUGCGAAGGGGGGACGGAGAAGGCUAUGUUGGCCGGGCGACGGUUGUCCCGGUUUAAGCGUGUAGGCUGGUUUUCCAGGCAAAUCCGGAAAAUCAAGGCUGAGGCGUGAUGACGAGGCACUACGGUGCUGAAGCAACAAAUGCCCUGCUUCCAGGAAAAGCCUCUAAGCAUCAGGUAACAUCAAAUCGUACCCCAAACCGACACAGGUGGUCAGGUAGAGAAUACCAAGGCGCUUGAGAGAACUCGGGUGAAGGAACUAGGCAAAAUGGUGCCGUAACUUCGGGAGAAGGCACGCUGAUAUGUAGGUGAGGUCCCUCGCGGAUGGAGCUGAAAUCAGUCGAAGAUACCAGCUGGCUGCAACUGUUUAUUAAAAACACAGCACUGUGCAAACACGAAAGUGGACGUAUACGGUGUGACGCCUGCCCGGUGCCGGAAGGUUAAUUGAUGGGGUUAGCGGUAACGCGAAGCUCUUGAUCGAAGCCCCGGUAAACGGCGGCCGUAACUAUAACGGUCCUAAGGUAGCGAAAUUCCUUGUCGGGUAAGUUCCGACCUGCACGAAUGGCGUAAUGAUGGCCAGGCUGUCUCCACCCGAGACUCAGUGAAAUUGAACUCGCUGUGAAGAUGCAGUGUACCCGCGGCAAGACGGAAAGACCCCGUGAACCUUUACUAUAGCUUGACACUGAACAUUGAGCCUUGAUGUGUAGGAUAGGUGGGAGGCUUUGAAGUGUGGACGCCAGUCUGCAUGGAGCCGACCUUGAAAUACCACCCUUUAAUGUUUGAUGUUCUAACGUUGACCCGUAAUCCGGGUUGCGGACAGUGUCUGGUGGGUAGUUUGACUGGGGCGGUCUCCUCCUAAAGAGUAACGGAGGAGCACGAAGGUUGGCUAAUCCUGGUCGGACAUCAGGAGGUUAGUGCAAUGGCAUAAGCCAGCUUGACUGCGAGCGUGACGGCGCGAGCAGGUGCGAAAGCAGGUCAUAGUGAUCCGGUGGUUCUGAAUGGAAGGGCCAUCGCUCAACGGAUAAAAGGUACUCCGGGGAUAACAGGCUGAUACCGCCCAAGAGUUCAUAUCGACGGCGGUGUUUGGCACCUCGAUGUCGGCUCAUCACAUCCUGGGGCUGAAGUAGGUCCCAAGGGUAUGGCUGUUCGCCAUUUAAAGUGGUACGCGAGCUGGGUUUAGAACGUCGUGAGACAGUUCGGUCCCUAUCUGCCGUGGGCGCUGGAGAACUGAGGGGGGCUGCUCCUAGUACGAGAGGACCGGAGUGGACGCAUCACUGGUGUUCGGGUUGUCAUGCCAAUGGCACUGCCCGGUAGCUAAAUGCGGAAGAGAUAAGUGCUGAAAGCAUCUAAGCACGAAACUUGCCCCGAGAUGAGUUCUCCCUGACCCUUUAAGGGUCCUGAAGGAACGUUGAAGACGACGACGUUGAUAGGCCGGGUGUGUAAGCGCAGCGAUGCGUUGAGCUAACCGGUACUAAUGAACCGUGAGGCUUAACCUU